rnacentral:rRNA from 1 species
GGAUUAGAUACCCCACUAUGCCUAGCCCUAAACCCAAAUAGUUACAUAACAAAACUAUUCGCCAGAGUACUACUCGCAACUGCCUAAAACUCAAAGGACUUGGCGGUGCUUCACAUCCACCUAGAGGAGCCUGUUCUAUAAUCGAUAAACCCCGAUAGACCUUACCAACCCUUGCCAAUUCAGCCUAUAUACCGCCAUCUUCAGCAAACCCUAAAAAGGAACAAUAGUAAGCACAAUCAUAGCACAUAAAAACGUUAGGUCAAGGUGUAGCUUAUGGGUUGGAAAGAAAUGGGCUACAUUUUCUACAUAAGAAUAUCCACCACACGAAAGUUUUUAUGAAACUAAAAACCAAAGGAGGAUUUAGCAGUAAAUCAAGAAUAGAGUGCUUGAUUGAAUAAGGCCAUGAAGCACGCACACACCGCCCGUCACCCUCCUCA